CGAGUUCCUUACGAGCAAAACAUAGUGUACGUUUAACAGACUUAAGUCCAGAAAGUGAAGUAAUAAUAGUGAUCGAUUCAAAAAUUACUUGAUGCAAUGAAGAUGCGCCGUGAUUUCUACAACAGUGGACUUACCUGCGCAACUGUGUGGCUGUCGUUGUUUAUCCUCUCACUAGCAACAAUGAUCACCGCCAAAUCGACCAUCCAUGAGAUUGACACCAGUAUGACUAGCAAAAAUACUACAAACGAGACGUGCCCACCUGACAUGUGUCCCAUAAUGUUAUGCCGCUGGGGAUUCAGCUACGAAACGGAUGAGGUCACCGGCUGUCAAACGUGCAAGUGCUGGGAUCCCUGUUCCGACGUUGAAUGUCCAAAAAACAAGAUAUGCGUGCUACAAAAUCGGGCGUGUUUUACAACACCAUGUCCCCCGUUAACUACCUGUGAGAAUAUUACAUUCUAAUCUGCAAGCGAAUCCUUGCAGAUCAUCGAUUUGCAAUAGUUAUUUGCCAGACCCAGGAGAAUCUUGCGUUAAUGGUUCACACAUCAAAGAGGUAAUGAAGACAAAUAUCAAUGAAAAUAUAUUAAAAUCAUUUCCCAUACCUAGAUCCUCGACGAUCAAACAAAUGUCCGUCGAUAAAUUCAUUAUUCGCGAGUAAAUGUUUCCGAUUUCACAAAAGAAUCGUUAUUUUAUGUCUUAAACUUUAAAAAAGUAGAUUACAUUUCCGAAUCAUCCUCUAUAUUUUGUCAAAAUCGCUUAAUAAAUUUACAAACGAUUAUUUAUAAAUUUAGAUUACGUGAAUAAUGUCGAAUAAGUCUUUAAUAGUUGUCUUUAGAAUCUACAUAGUCAUAUGUAUGAACACCGGAUCCAAAAAUGUCGCAUGCAUUCGUUUGAUCGUCAAGUCUGGACCGUAAUGAUGAAUCUCGUGGACAAUAAAUUAGGACGAAAUAUCGACAGUGAGAUACAUGACAUUGUUUUGACUACGAUGUAUAUACUAUACCAUGUACGACAUUACUUCACGUUUCCAGGUUGCACUUAUGAUUUGUGUGUGCUUUUGUUUAUUAACCGCUAACAGUUAAGAACAAAUUCAGUUACGUAUAUAAGAUCAUUAAACAUAUUUAAAGUUGUAAAA